rnacentral:rRNA from 1 species
CAGUAGCCACGGGAAUACGUAGGGUGCAAGCGUUAAUCGGAAUUACUGGGCGUAAAGCGUGCGCAGGCGGUUAUAUAAGUCAGAUGUGAAAUCCCCGGGCUCAACCUGGGAACUGCAUUUGAGACUGUAUGGCUAGAGUGUGUCAGAGGGGGGUAGAAUUCCACGUGUAGCAGUGAAAUGCGUAGAUAUGUGGAGGAAUACCGAUGGCGAAGGCAGCCCCCUGGGAUAACACUGACGCUUAUGCACGAAAGCGUGGGGAGCAAACAGGAUUAGAUACCCGCGUAGUCCCUGUCUCUUAUAC